GGUGGCAGACCCACCGCAUUCGGCAUGCAGGUGCUGAUUGCAAACCACUUUGUGCUGCUCUGAUGGAAACAGAUGGGUAGUGGAACGACAUUUGAAAGCCUUCCUUUAGGUUGG
rnacentral:ncRNA from 1 species